GAUGAACGCUGGCGGCGUGCCUAAUACAUGCAAGUCGAGCGAACAGAUGAGGAGCUUGCUCCUCUGACGUUAGCGGCGGACGGGUGAGUAACACGUGGAUAACCUACCUAUAAGACUGGGAUAACUUCGGGAAACCGGAGCUAAUACCGGAUAAUAUAUUGAACCGCAUGGUUCAAUAGUGAAAGACGGUUUUGCUGUCACUUAUAGAUGGAUCCGCGCCGCAUUAGCUAGUUGGUAAGGUAACGGCUUACCAAGGCAACGAUGCGUAGCCGACCUGGGAGGGGGAUCGGCCACACUGGAACUGAGACACGGUCCAGACUCCUACGGGAGGAAGCAGUAGGGAAUCUUCCGCAAUGGGCGAAAGCCUGACGGAGCAACGCCGCGUGAGUGAUGAAGGUCUUCGGAUCGUAAAACUCUGUUAUUAGGGAAGAACAAAUGUGUAAGUAACUAUGCACGUCUUGACGGUACCUAAUCAGAAAGCCACGGCUAACUACGUG
rnacentral:rRNA from 1 species